GCGGAAAUGAAGAGUCGGCGUAGCGACAACUUCAAUAAAUCAAGCGUGAUAUGAAGCGGUGGUUGCAGCACCUUAUCUGGAUCUACCAAGACCCUUCUAGUGGAAAUGAGGCACCAGCGAGCAUUGUGGCCAAACCUUGAUAAUCAAUUCAGCAUCGUGGUUUAAAAGGCCACGCAUACUGUAAGCGGAACAGCCUUAAAAAAGAAGAAAAAAGGAGCUCCUUAGACAAAGCAUUUUUUUUCCAGGUCCUCACAAAAAGAGUGUAACUGCUUUGAAAUGAAAUUGAAUGAUUUUUUUUUUUCAUUUCUGUCUAUUUUUAAAUGGACAGCUGACCGUUUAGUAACCCAGAAUCGAAGAAUUUUAAAACACAGAUGCUAUAAAAGGACUCCCAUAAGCUCUCCAGAGUCUUGAUAGAAAAGAAAAAGAAUAGUCCAGGAAAUUGAAGAAAGAAUGGACAAACAAGCAAAUGUUAGCCCUACAGAUGGACUGAGGCAGAAAAUUCACCCACUGUAAUAGUUAUUGUUGUUGCUGUUAUUAUAAUAAAAAUAAACUGCACUGGCCAUAAAGUUCCUGAAAGUCAGUCAUCAUUAUAUUUUCUGUAUUUGUUUGUAUGUAUUUAUGUAUAUGUAUAUGCUACCUGAAGUACCUGUUGCCGGUCGGUCUUGGAUGGGAUCCCACUUUGGCCAGGACAAAACUUUGUGUGCGCUGAAGGCAUCCUCCAUUCCAUUCCAGCGCACUCCUGCUCCCUGAUGGGAUCUGUAGUCUUUGCACUGGUGCUGGUAUUUGGGUUGCCUCCUAUAUUACAACUCCUCACUCUGGUAUCCCCUAUAGCUUGUAUUUUAAGUCUUUAUGCCUUUUGCCUUAAUUAGUGUUUGUUAUAAAGAGAAUAUUCAGAACAUGCAUGGGGACUGCAAACAACAUUUUCCUGCCUGUAGAAUAAAUUUGUGGGAUAUUCUGCCACAUUGAGGGAACAAAUGUGGACUGGGGUGCAGUCUCCAGAAUGACUGAGUCUUUGAUCCUUUGUUUUUAUCACUGUGCCCUCAAGGGGGCACCAUGUCAUACCUGGGGGUUACAGGGGCAGUCAUGCUGUACAGUAUAUAAUGAUAGUCAAGGAUGGGUGUACUGCUCCUAGAAAACACCACAAGACCUGGAAAGGUCAUCAAUGGGAGCAGUGGGCCGUGCUGUGUGUGUGACUUAGUGGCCGUCUCUUCAAUGUGACAAGAAUGCCAUCUAAGUAACUUUUUAAUUUCAGCUAGAAUUAAAAUUCUGUGGUUCUGUAGAUGACAUAAACUCCAAAUGAAACUGUUUGAUAUAUCAACUCUCUUCAUGUCUAUACUCACUUCUUUCUCAUUGAAGGCACCACAGCACUCAGGAGUAUCAUUUUUUUUAACCAUCCUUCCAGUUUUCAUACAGUUCAGAGUUACAGAGGGCCAGAGCUCAAUCCAGCAAUACUGGGUAGUAAAGAAAAAAAAACAAAUUCAAUAUAAAGUGCUAGUCUAUGCAGCACACACAUUCAGACAGGACUAACUUGGAUUUACCAGUCUGUAUGGCCAGCUUGUCUUUAGAUGUAGGAGUAAAGUCACAGGGCCACAGGGACAACAUCCAAACUACCAACAGAAAUUGAUCAGGGAGGGAAAUGGCAUAUAAGGACUCUUGUUCAUUUUUUAAGAAAUGAAUCAAAAUGCAUUGUUCUAACUGAAAUUUUAUAAAGUGUAAUCUUAAAAUAUGGCAAACUAUACACCCAAAAAUCUCUUUUUGUAUUAAGUUUCUGUUUAACUGGCCAGUUACUUAUUAUUUUAUCCGCCUGUUGACUCAAAGCUGCAUCUAUCAAGGCAACAAAACUAUUUACAGGAUAAAAAAAAAAAAAAAAA